UGGCUCAAUCGGUAGAGCGCCUGACUAUAAGUCGGGAGGUCACUGGUUCGAGCCCGGU
rfam:Ancylostoma ceylanicum strain HY135 Acey_s0158_scaf, whole genome shotgun sequence.